AGUGCAGGUGAUGAUAAAACAGAGACAUCAGCAACAUUCCUUUGGAGGAUAUUGACUUUUGUCUUGGAAAUCUCCGAUGCAUG